AGUGAACGCUGGCGAUAGGCCUAACACAUGCAAGUCGAACGGCAGCACAGUAAGAGCUUGCUCUUACGGGUGGCGAGUGGCGGGCGGGUGAGGAAUACAUCGGAAUCUACUUUUUCGUGGGGGAUAACGUAGGGAAACUUACGCUAAUACCGCAUACGACCUACGGGUGAAAGCAGGGGAUCUUCGGACCUUGCGCGAUUGAAUGAGCCGAUGUCGGAUUAGCUAGUUGGCGGGGUAAAGGCCCACCAAGGCGACGAUCCGUAGCUGGUCUGAGAGGAUGAUCAGCCACACUGGGACUGAGACACGGUCCAGACUCCUACGGGAGGCAGCAGUGGGGAAUAUUGGACAAUGGGCGCAAGCCUGAUCCAGCCAUACCGCGUGGGUGAAGAAGGCCUUCGGGUUGUAAAGCCCUUUUGUUGGGAAAGAAAAGCAGCAGGUUAAUACCCCGCUGUUCUGACGGUACCCAAAGAAUAAGCACCGGCUAACUUCGUG
rnacentral:rRNA from 1 species